rnacentral:rRNA from 1 species
GACGAACGCUGGCGGCGUGCUUAACACAUGCAAGUCGAACGGAAAGGCCCCUUUGGGUGUACUCGAGUGGCGAACGGGUGAGUAACACGUGAGUAACCUGCCCUUGACUUCGGGAUAACUUCAGGGAACUGGGGCUAAUACCGGCUAAGAAUCCUUGCUGCAUGGUGGGGGUUGGACAGCUUCGGCGGUUUUGGAUGGACUGGCGGCUUAUCAGCUUGUUGGUGGGGUAGUGGCUUACCAAGGCUUUGACGGGUAGCCGGCCUGAGAGGGCGACCGGCCACAUUGGGACUGAGAUACGGCCCAGACUCCUACGGGAGGCAGCAGUGGGGAAUAUUGCACAAUGGGCGGAAGCCUGAUGCAGCAACGCCGCGUGCGGGAUGACGGCCUUCGGGUUGUAAACCGCUUUCAGCAGGGGCGAAGCUUGUGGUGACGGUACCUGCAGAAGAAGCACCGGCUAACUACGUG